UACGAAGGGGGCUAGCGUUGCUCGGAAUCACUGGGCGUAAAGGGUGCGUAGGCGGGUCUUUUAAGUCAGGGGUGAAAUCCUGGAGCUCAACUCCAGAACUGCCUUUGAUACUGAAGAUCUUGAGUUCGGGAGAGGUGAGUGGAACUGCGAGUGUAGAGGUGAAAUUCGUAGAUAUUCGCAAGAACACCGGUGGCGAAGGCGGCGAGCUGGCCUGUACCUGACGCUGAGGCGCGACAGCGUGGGGAGCGAACAGG
rnacentral:rRNA from 1 species